UUUUGCCUGAAAUGUACGAAGUAAACUAUAAUUUUGAACCUACAUUUGACAUAAGGGAGUCCGGAGUUUAAAAACGUAUGCCAGGCCUUAAGCUAAAGCCGGAUUAUGCUUUAAAGCAUAGGUCACGGCAAGGGAAGGCAGAAAUUUUUAACAGGACACCCACCUAGUUGCGGCUAGGUGUCAAAAUAUAGUGAAACGGCAUUUUGGGUUACAU
rnacentral:other from 2 species